AAGUAAACAAAUUGAGUUACUGUUUGCACGGUAUAGUAAAUUUUAUUUUCUUCUGUAUGAAUUAACUGUUUGUACAAAAAAAAAUAAUAUGCCGUUAGCUAAAAAAAUAUACAAACGACCUAUGUCAUCUUUUCUCAGUGUUUUCGAAAUUCUUCUUUACACCUCUUUUUGGUAAAACGACGCAUCUGUCAAAACAAAUAAUAUCGCACACACAGCAGAUAGGAUCGCAGCAAACCGUCGUAUGGAAGAAAAUAAAUAGUAAAAAAGUGCCUGGCAGAUACGUCGUGUUUACUUACAUUGAAUAUUGCGCGUACAAAUAGUUUAAUUACACCUAAAACGUGAUAAAAUGGAUUUCGAUGGAUUCCAGCUGCUGCUCGACGCAGCAACAGAGCUUGAAUUAUCACAUCAACAAGAGGCACAGCAAAUUCCAACGAUUGUGACGCAAACGAAUGCAGACCCUGCUCUUGACGCGGCUCCCAAUCAGCACGGCUCACCGCUUCAAGUUUUCUCGCAAAAUGUAUCGGGAAAUGUUGCAGAAAUUGU